rfam:Staphylococcus sp. CAG:324 genomic scaffold, scf24
CGGGACUUAGCUCAGCUUGGUAGAGCAUCUGGUUUGGGACCAGAGGGUCACAGGUUCGAAUCCUGCAGUCCCGA